rnacentral:lncRNA from 1 species
AAUAUUGAGACUUUGGGGGCUGAUUUGGGAAUUUAGAAGAGUUUAAGAGAAUAAGUGAUAUAUAUAUUAAAAUAGAAUAUUGAGACUUUGGGGGCUGAUUUGGGAAUUUAGAAGAGUUUAAGAGAAUAAGUGGAGUUAAGAGAAAAUAGGUAGGUUAAGGUUAUAAAAAGAGAAAAGUGAGAAGUCAGAAUAGUUUUUUCACGUACAACCAGUUUUUGGAGAAAAAGGGAGAAAACCUAGAGAAGAGGAGAAACGAGAAGAGAACCUUGCAAUCGAUUUCUUAAGAUAAGGGUGAGACUAGCAUUCAAUUCUAUUAAUCUGUAUAAUUCUGAUAGUUGUAUUUAACAAGUGUAGGAUUGAAUUAGAGAAGUUGGAGAAUUAGGGUUAAAUAAGUGAGAAAUUGAGGAUUUUAUCGUACUUAUAUGCAUGUUUGAUUAAAUUUGGUUUGAUACUGUGAUGAUAUGAAUACGAUUCGUACGUGUCUGUUCGUUUUACAAGCUUAUUGAAUAUGCAAAUUAAUAUAUGGUUUUGUAAUCGCUAAUUUUAUUUUGAAUCAUACUUCCAGUCCCUAAGUUCCGAUAAGACACAAGAUUAAGUUUUGUCUGCUUGAAAUUUAAUUCAUUCAAUUGUUGAUUUUGUCAUGAUAUUAUUUUGGAAUUAGCAUAAAGUAGAUUUUAUAAUAUAUGGAAUCAUGUCAUAGAUGCCCUUUAAAACUAGGAUAUCAUAAGAGUGAAUUAGUUAGAAAAUGGUUCAAUACUGUUAUCAUUAUUUGGUUUCGGAUUCUCAGAUGCCUAAAGUAUCUAUGAUUUAUUUCAUCAGCCUUUAUGAUAAAUUGUUUUAGGUGUCAAGUUUAAAACUAUAUAAAAUCGAUGGUUAUAAUAAUAAGUUACUAUUACUAUUGAAAUAAUAUUUCUUAGAUGAAGAAUUUGAAAUAAUAGGUUCGUGUUUGAUGAAUUAUUAUAUGAAUGUAUAUGUUGACGAAUAUGAGGUUAUAUGAUGUUGUUCAUGAUUGAUGAAUUAUUAUAUGAAUAUCUUUGAUUGAUGAAUUAUGAUAUUAUGAUGCAAAGUCGUCGUUGUUGUCGUUGCCGUUGUUGUUGUCAAAGUUGUAAAGUUGUAAAGUUGUAAGUUGUCUUUCCAAAGUAUUGGAGUCUUAAGUUGUUUAUGUUGUCUAAGUUGUUGAAGUCGUAGUUGAAGCUGUUGUUGGUGACUGUUUAUGUUCAGGUGUUUUGUAAGAGGUGGUGUACUCUUAUGUUGUUGUUUAUAAGAUGUGGUGUACUCUUAUGUUAUUGUUCUAUAAGAGGUGGUGUACUCUUUCGUUGUCGUUUAUAAGAGGUGGUGUACUCUUACGUUGUCAUAUUAUAAGAGGUGGUGUACUCUUACGUUGUCGUUUAUAAGAGGUGGUGUACUCUUACGUUGUUGUUCUAUAAGAGGUGGUGUACUCUUACGUUGUCAUAUUAUAAGAGGUGGUGUACUCUUACGUUGUUGUUCUAUAAGAGGUGGUGUACUCUUACGUUGUCAUAUUAUAAGAGGUGGUGUACUCUCACGUAGCUGUAUUGUCAGGUUGACGUUGUCGUCGUUGAAUCGUUGAAGUUGUUGUUGAUUACAAACCAUGGAAUAUUAAUGAUUAUGUUGUGUUUAUAUUAUUAUAAGAUGAUAAAUAAGUUGUUGCUUAUGUUAUUAUAAGAUGAUGAUUAUGUUGUUUAUAUUUGUUAUGAGUUAAUGAUGAUUAGAAGUGGAUUGGACUAUUAAUGAAGCACUAUAUGAAGAAUUAUUAUUAUUAUUAUUAUUAAUUAAUAAUGUUUAUGUUGUUAAAUUUAAUUGUUUAAUUAUAUACUUAAUAUUAUUGUUUGUGAAAUCUCACCCCUUCUGCUUGGAAAUGUUGCUCUUCGUAUGAGUAACUUGCAGGUGAUCGAGAAUAAGUAGCUGUUGAUUGCUGUCGUGAGUGGCUAUCUCUCACUGUGUCUUUAGGUGCUCUUAUACGUAACGGGAUGGGAACUUUGUGGCUAUUUUCUAUUCCUUACGUAUUGCUUAUGAAUAUACAUGAUUAAGUUGUUAAAUUGGAUUUUAUAAGAUGUUUUGAUGAGGCCUUUGUGCCAAGACUAUUUUAGAUGUUGAAAUAAAUUCCGCUGCGAAGUAAUGAUUAUUAUGUUGAUUAAAUUUUGAAGGAUAAUUAGUUAAUUAUUCCAUUUAUGAUUCUUAAGAAGUGUAGCAUCAUGUUUAAUUGUUUUACUUUGAUUUAUGCAAAAAAAAAAAAAAAAAAUUCAAGUUGGGAAAACAGGGUGUUAUACUAAUCACAUGAGUUUGUACGUAUGGGGCCUUACUCACUCAGAGGUAUGAGUUUUAUUCCCCUCCAACUGUCGAGUUGCAACCUUACACCAAAGUUUCUUCGUGCG